AUGAAGACUGCAAGGCAUAGCAAGAAGAGGCAGCAGCAGUCCGGGAGGGCCGUGCUCGUGACUUUCUACGUGGCGAGGCCGAGGAGGAAAGACAGCGGCGCCGCGUCGGCGGGCUCGUCGCGGCACGUUCAUCACCACCACCACCACGAUGUUCACCAUCACCACCACCACCAUCUUCACCAUGGAAGCGACGAGGCGCGACGGCGGGGAUCGGAGAACCGCAGGUCGUACGACCGCCGGGCCGAGCUGCUGGAGUACUCGCGCCAGAUGAGGGCCUCGGCUGCCGCAGCGGCGGCGAGGCCGCCGCACCCAGAGGAGCCCCUCCACCCACGUCGCGACGUCGAAGCGGCCGGCGCGGGGCGUUACCCGGUCCACCCGCGGCCUGCGGCGGACCCCCGUUUUAUUUACAUAGCUGGACUGAUCGAGUCCCUGUCGGGCGGUGCGGUGCGUCUUGCCGGCCACCCGCCCGCGGCGGCGGGUGACGACCGUAGGCUGGUGGAACGACGGCGGCUGGAGCGCGCGGAGAGCCAGCAGCAGGUGAGGCAGAGAUGCCUGGGGCUGGGAGGCGACUGGAGCUGGAAGAGGGUGCUCAGGCUCGUGCUGCCCUGCCAGAGCAGCACCGGCCGGCCGUCUACAAGGUCAAGGACACAAGGCAGAGACGACUACGACGGCAAGGAGGAUGGCAAGGCGGCCAGGGCGUGGCCGGCUGCGGUACAGCUGGUCAGCAAGUUGAAGCAAGAUGGGUUGCUGUCUAUUGUCAGAGACAGGCAGAGUCUGAUAGGCUCGGUGCUGCAGGUUAACCCUGUACCUGUCGUCGGCUGGCGAAGGAUCGUCCGAUUCGUUGGAGGAGGAGCCGUGGUCGUCGUCGUCGGAGAAGUCGACGAUGACGAGGCCCUUGAGGCGAUGGACGACCCGGUCCUGCUCGCGCCUAAGCUUGGCCCGCCGAUCCGCCUCCUUCGCCUUCUUCAACGCCUCCCGCUCGGACUCUUUGAUGGCAAGCCGAAGAGCCUUGGCAUUCUUCCAGCGGAGUCGACGAGCGUCCGUCUCCGCCGUCGUAAGCGACCGGCGGUAGACCCACGCGAGGAGCCGCUCGUCCUCGUCGGGCUCCGCCCAUGA
rnacentral:rRNA from 1 species